GGGCAGGAAGGGGAGGAGCUGAGACAAGGAAGAGCAGUAAUGAGCAGGAGACAACUGGACUUUGGAUCUGCUACAAGAAACCAGAACGGCCAUCACAAAGAGUGAUGCUCUGGUGCUCACCUGCAGAGGUGAGCAGGAAAGCACAUUAAGGCUGGAUGCAUUACCAGGUUCCUCUGCAACCAGUGUGAUGCCGUGAAUGUGAAGGAUAAAACCCGUCAGAAGAGGGAAGCAAAAGAUGAAACAGAUGAGGCAGAUGUGGAACAGCAGCAGCAGGAUAACAGGCAGCUUCCUUUGGGAUAUUUCUUUCCCAGUAUCCUAAAUACAAGAGGCGAGAGGGUAAGCAGGAAUCCUGAAUCCCAUGCACACGUGAGUCUGGUUAAGCAGAGACCCAGCAAGCUCAGGAAUGUCCAUCGAGGAGUCUUCUGCUACCACUGUGUGUAUCACAGUGGGACAAUGCAACUUUGCCUACAGCCAGAAGUUGUGCUGUUUGUGUGCUUGUGCAGGGGAGCAGCACCCAGAAUUUCCUUCCUUUAACUCCACCUGCAGGCAGCCACAGCACAGGCCUGAGCCUGCCAGG